rnacentral:rRNA from 1 species
AUUGAACGUUGGCGGCAGGCCUAACACAUGCAAGUCGAGCGGAUGAAGGGAGCUUGCUCCUGGAUUCAGCGGCGGACGGGUGAGUAAUGCCUAGGAAUCUGCCUGGUAGUGGGGGAUAACGUCCUGAAACGGGCGCUAAUACCGCAUACGUCCUGAGGGAGAAAGUGGGGGAUCUUCGGACCUCACGCUAUCAGAUGAGCCUAGGUCGGAUUAGCUAGUUGGUGGGGUAAAGGCCUACCAAGGCGACGAUCCGUAACUGGUCUGAGAGGAUGAUCAGUCACACUGGAACUGAGACACGGUCCAGACUCCUACGGGAGGCAGCAGUGGGGAAUAUUGGACAAUGGGCGAAAGCCUGAUCCAGCCAUGCCGCGUGUGUGAAGAAGGUCUUCGGAUUGUAAAGCACUUUAAGUUGGGAGGAAGGGCAGUAAGUUAAUACCUUGCUGUUUUGACGGUACCAACAGAAUAAGCACCGGCUAACUUCGUG